rnacentral:rRNA from 1 species
UACGAAGGGGGCUAGCGUUGCUCGGAAUCACUGGGCGUAAAGCGCACGUAGGCGGAUUGUUAAGUCAGGGGUGAAAUCCUGGAGCUCAACUCCAGAACUGCCUUUGAUACUGGCGAUCUCGAGUCCAGGAGAGGUGAGUGGAAUUCCGAGUGUAGAGGUGAAAUUCGUAGAUAUUCGGAAGAACACCAGUGGCGAAGGCGGCUCACUGGACUGGUAGUUGACGCUGAGGUGCGAAAGCGUGGGGAGCAAACAGG